GGUCCCCGCGGGACUCCGCUCUCGGUGAAAUGGGACUUGGUUAGAAAUCCACCGAACUCCUCAUUGGCGGCGCCUGGUGCAAGAAGUUGCUUAGGACAUCUAAGCAGACCCGCGCUUCCAGAGCAGGGCUGUCGGUGCUCUGCAGGGGGGAAAGAGAAUCCCUCAGGCAGGACCAGCAGUGAUGGACCCCAACACUCUCUCCAUGGAACAGGGGAAGCAGUUCUUAAAGCAGUGCGGGAUCCCACAAAGAGAUAUUGACUUGAUGACAGAGAAAUGGGUUGUUCUCGCCUCUGUGGAGGUUCUUCUGCGAUUUCCUCUGAAGCCAGGAGAGGAUCCGACCGCCCGCUGUGUCUCGAAUAAAAAAUGCCAGGCUUCAGUGGACCAGCCACCCACAAUUUCACAGAGACCUUGAUACCAAGAGGAGAGGAAAUCCAACAACCACUUAAUGAAGAAGAAUGAUCAGAAGUUCAAGGACCUGCCACAGAUGGC
rnacentral:lncRNA from 1 species